UACGAAGGGGGCUAGCGUUGCUCGGAAUCACUGGGCGUAAAGCGCACGUAGGCGGAUCGUUAAGUCGGAGGUGAAAUCCUGGAGCUCAACUCCAGAACUGCCUUCGAUACUGGCGAUCUUGGAGUCCGGGAGAGGUGAGUGGAACUCCGAGUGUAGAGGUGAAAUUCGUAGAUAUUCGGAAGAAACACCAGUGGCGAAGGCGGCUCACUGGCCCGGUACUGACGCUGAGGUGCGAAAAGCGUGGGGGAGCAAACAGGG
rnacentral:rRNA from 1 species